rnacentral:lncRNA from 1 species
UCCAAACUCAGGUUGUGGCAAGCACUUUUGCUAAGCCAUUUCCCUGCCCCUCCCUCCCACGCCAAUUCUUACCCAUGUCUCUUCUGAGCCAUCACUUUGGUCCCAGAUCCAACCCUGGUCUUUGGUUUAAAGCCUCCAUGACUCCCUCGUGCUGUCAGAACAGGUUCAAGCGUUUGCUCUCUACACGCCUGACCUCCGCCUGGUCCCUGGGGACUUCCAGCAUCCUCUUUAUCCUUCCUCCCUUGUGCUCCAGGAAUGCCUUGUACAAACUGGGCCAGGCUCAAACCCCUCUUUGCGUCCCGACUGCUCCCUGGGCCCAGGCUGCUUGCCAAUAGCCCUGGCUUGUCAGCAAGUGCGGCUCCCUGGCCCCUCCUCCAGCUCCUCCACAUCCUCCCCAGCUCCAUCCUCCUCUCCUCUGGGCUCACUGUAGAAGCCUUCUUCUGCACCCUGGUCACUUGUAGCCAAGCUGUGUGCAUUGGGCUCUCCAAGUCCCAGGAGUUGAGCUGUUCAGGGACAAAGUGUGGAGCUGACAGUAUCACCCCUGAAUGACCCAGCAUCGAGGACUGGAGAGGACAAUGAGUGGGUCUCAGAGUGUCCCCCGAGGAUAAUGGGGACACUGAGGCAGAGAUCCAGAGAGAAUGUCACAAGUCAAGUUUCUCUUAGGAAGCAGAGCCAGACAGCUGCAGAGUGGAUGACAGCUCAAGUCCCCGGAAGCUAGGCUCCACCGAUGAAGGGAGUUAAAAACACUUUCCUGGAAGGCCACUGGGCAGCUGGUGUGGAGAAUUUUUCACCUUAUUGGUCUACUUUUAGGGGCUUAAUCUAAGAAGUAACCAGAGGUGUUUAAAAUAAAUAAAUAAAAGAGAACCACGUACGAUGA